AAUCUUCCGCAAUGGACGAAAGUCUGACGGAGCAACGCCGCGUGAGCGAUAAAGGGUUUCGGCUCGUAAAACUCUGUUUUUAAGGAAGAAAACUUGAGGUAGUAAUUGGCCUAUAGAUGAAGGUAAUUAACCAGAAAGCCACGGCUAACUACGUGCCAGCAGCCGCGGUAAUACGUAUGUGGCAAGCGUUAUCUGGAAUUGUUGGGCGUAAAGCGAGCGUAGGCGGUAAAAUAAGUCUGAUGUGAAAGCCCCCGGCUCAACCGGGGAGGGUCAUUGGAAACUGUUUUACUUGAGUACAGUAGAGGAGAGUGGAAUUCCAUGUGUAGCGGUGAAAUGCGCAGAGAUAUGGAGGAACACCAGUGGCGAAGGCGGCUCUCUGGUCUGUUACUGACGCUGAGGUGCGAAAGCGUGGGGAUCAAAC
rnacentral:rRNA from 1 species